rnacentral:rRNA from 1 species
GAUGAACGCUAGCGAUAGGCUUAACACAUGCAAGUCGAGGGGCAGCAUGGUCUUAGCUUGCUAAGACUGAUGGCGACCGGCGCACGGGUGCGUAACGCGUAUGCAACUUGCCUCACAGAGGGGGAUAACCCGUCGAAAGACGGACUAAUACCGCGUACACUCCAUCUUGGGCAUCCAAGGUAGAGGAAAUGAAAUUCGCUGUGAGAUAGGCAUGCGUCCCAUUAGCUAGUUGGUGAGGUAACGGCUCACCAAGGCGACGAUGGGUAGGGGAACUGAGAGGUUGAACCCCCACACUGGUACUGGGACACGGACCAGACUGCUACGGGAGGCAGCAGUGAGGAAUAUUGGUCAAUGGGCGAGAGCCUGAACCAGCCAAGUCGCGUGAAGGAUGACUGUCUUAUGGAUUGUAAACUUCUUUUAUACGGGAAUAACAAGAGUCACGUGUGACUCCCUGCAUGUACCGUAUGAAUAAGCAUCGGCUAACUCCGU